rnacentral:lncRNA from 1 species
GACGCGGCCCAUUUGGGCACCACCGCUUCUCGGCCCGGCCCAGCAGCGGUUGAUUUGGGCCGAGACCAACCCACCACCACCCGCGGAGUAGGCGACGGCGGCGAAGCCCACGGCGGAAGCUUCUGGAAGAUUGGAGGAGUUGAGAUCAAGAUCUGGAUUAGCCCUAGAGUUGGUAACGAAGCUCACCAUGAUUGUUCAGGUUUAUCGGGGCGUCUGACACUUGCUGCUUCCAAGGAAUUGGUAUGAGAGGAUCCACAUGGUUCUGACAUUGUAUAGAUAUUUUACAUGGCACACCAUCACUCCUACCAAAGGGAACUAAGCAAGUCGUGAGGACACGAUUUUUUUUGCCAUUUGGCAGCACCUGUGGGUUUAAUUGCUUCAUGGCUUCAUGUUAGGUGACAAGAUUAGAGAAGAUGUUGGCAUUCUACGAGAGGGGAUUAAAGAAUGAAGCUGUGUGAUUAGCAUAUAAUAUAAUGCCAUGGCCGGGUGCAGAAUGUUUUAUUUUAUCAAUCAGAUGUGCCAGGAUCAGGUAGUGCAUUAUUUACCUGAUGAAAUAUUUCGAGUUUAUUUCGCUACGUUUGACUCAGGUUGUUCAAGUUUCAAGAUAUAUACUAUCUUUGCUUGGUUAAAAUUAUUGAUAUAUUUUUCUGU